UGUAGUUCAUGGUGUUUGGUGUGUGGGGUUGAAGAAAAGGAGACAAGAUGUGACAUUGUUUUGGGCAAGGAAAAACAACACAAGAAAGAGGAUGCAGAAAAAAACUUUGCACCUUUCCCCCUGUAUCUUGGGAACAUGGAAACUGCCAGACUGGAUCCAAUGCAGAAUGCCAGGAAGGAAAACCUACUGAAGAAUACCAUCAAAGCUUCUGGCUGUAUCCUACUCAAAAGAGCGUGGCUUCAGAGCCAUGCCUCGUUCUUUUGCAGUGCUCAGUUCUGCUGAUAUGAAAUAUUCAAGAUCAUAGUCCAGAUCUUCUGACAUUAGUGUAGGCUUUAAGUACCACCCUCUUUGCUUCUUUUAAGCAAAAAUAUGGGUCCUUGUGCUGUCUGUCUGAUUCUCUCUGGAACCGACAAGAA